GGCCUCCCUCUGUGGGGUGAUCGAUCGUAGAGCUCCACGAUCGAUUGCCCAGCAGAGGGAGGUC
rnacentral:pre_miRNA from 1 species